rnacentral:rRNA from 1 species
UACGUAGGGGGCUAGCGUUGUCCGGAAUCAUUGGGCGUAAAGAGCGUGUAGGCGGUUCGGUAAGUCUGUCGUGAAAUCCUGAGGCUCAACCUCGGGCGUGCGAUGGAUACUGCCGGGCUAGAGGAUGGAUAGAGGCGAGUGGGAAUUCCCGGUGUAGCGGUGAAAUGCGCAGAUAUCGGGAGGAACACCAGUAGCGAAGGCGGCUCGCUGGGCCUUCCUGACGCUGAGCACGCGAAAGCUAGGGGAGCGAACAGG